rnacentral:tRNA from 1 species
GCCGCGGUGGCGGAACUGGUAGACGCGCUGGACUUAAAAUCCAGUUGUAGAGAUACAGUGCGGGUUCGAUUCCCGCCCGCGGCACGA